AGUGAACGCUGGCGGUAGGCCUAACACAUGCAAGUCGAACGGCAGCACAGUAAGAGCUUGCUCUUACGGGUGGCGAGUGGCGGACGGGUGAGGAAUACAUCGGAAUCUACUUUUUCGUGGGGGAUAACGUAGGGAAACUUACGCUAAUACCGCAUACGACCUACGGGUGAAAGCAGGGGAUCUUCUGACCUUGCGCGAUUGUAUGAGCCGAUGUCGGAUUAGCUAGUUGGCGGGGUAAGGGCCCACCAAGGCGACGAUCCGUAGCUGGUCUGAGAGGAUGAUCAGACACACGGGAACUGAGACACGGACCAGACGCCUACGGGAGGCAGAAGUGGGGAAUAUUGGACAAUGGGCGCAAGCCUGAUACAGCCAUACCGCGUGGGUGAAGAAGGACUUCGGGUUGUAAAGCCCUUUUGUUGGGAAAGAAAAGAAGCAGGUUAAUACCCCGCUGUUCUGACGGUACCCAAAGAAUAAGCACCGGCUAACUUCGUG
rnacentral:rRNA from 1 species